GAUGAACGCUAGCUACAGGCUUAACACAUGCAAGUCGAGGGGAAACGAUAUUGGAAGCUUGCUUCCGAUAGGCGUCGACCGGCGCACGGGUGAGUAACGCGUAUCCAACCUGCCCAUCACUUGGGGAUAACCUUGCGAAAGUAAGACCAAUACCCAAUGACGUCCAUAGAAGACAUCUGAAAUGGAUUAAAGAUUUAUCGGUGAUGGAUGGGGAUGCGUCUGAUUAGCUUGUUGGCGGGGUAACGGCCCACCAAGGCGACGAUCAGUAGGGGUUCUGAGAGGAAGGUCCCCAACAUUGGAACUGAGACACGGUCCAAACUCCUACGGGAGGAAGCAGUGAGGAAUAUUGGUCAAUGGACGAGAGUCUGAGCCAGCCAAGUAGCGUGCAGGAUGACGGCCCUAUGGGUUGUAAACUGCUUUUAUAAGGGAAUAAAGUGGGAGUCGUGACUCCUUUUGCAUGUACCUUAUGAAUAAGGACCGGCUAAUUCCGUGCCAGCCGCCGCUGUAA
rnacentral:rRNA from 1 species